rnacentral:rRNA from 1 species
UACGUAGGUGACAAGCGUUGUCCGGAUUUACUGGGCGUAAAGAGCGCGCAGGCGGUCGUUCAAGUCGAGUGUGAAAGCCCCCGGCUCAACUGGGGAGGGUCACUCGAUACUGAUCGACUUGAAGGCAGGAGAGGGAAGUGGAAUUCCCGGUGUAGUGGUGAAAUGCGUAGAUAUCGGGAGAAACACCAGUGGCGAAGGCGACUUCCUGGCCUGUUCUUGACGCUGAGGCGCGAAAGCUAGGGUAGCAAACGGG